rnacentral:misc_RNA from 1 species
AUAAGUGUUAUAUGAAUGGCCAUAAUAACAACAAUCGAGUAAGCACAACACAAAAAAUUAUGCACAGGGAGUUCUGACAAACAGGAAAUGCAAUCAUUGAGAAACUGUUUGAUAAAACAAGUAGAUUCAUUUGCCAAUUUGCAUUUACCUGAUUUGGGAUCAUUAUUUUCUUCUUUUUUUCCCCCUUUCCUGUUGCACUCAAAAUCCUAGAUUUCAUUUCAUUUCCGAAGGCCUUAGUAGCAGUGGUACAAAAGUGGGCCAUCACAUAUGCUGCGAAAUGGUGCAACUAUGGCUAGCAAACUCUUUUUUAAAUUGCAAAGACUAGUGAAUUGCAUCUAGAGCAUAAAAAUUUCCUUGAAUUUGACUAAAAAUG